rnacentral:rRNA from 1 species
UCAGGGAUCCGGUAGGAUAGACAUGCAGUCGUACGAUGGAUAGCCAGCUUGCUGGGCGGAUUAGUGGCGAACGGGUGAGUAACACGUGAGUAACCUGCCCUUGACUUCGGGAUAACUCCGGGAAACCGGGGCUAAUACCGGAUAUGAGCCGCCUUCGCAUGGGGGUGGUUGGAAAGUUUUUCGGUCAGGGAUGGGCUCGCGGCCUAUCAGCUUGUUGGUGGGGUGAUGGCCUACCAAGGCGACGACGGGUAGCCGGCCUGAGAGGGCGACCGGCCACACUGGGACUGAGACACGGCCCAGACUCCUACGGGAGGCAGCAGUGGGGAAUAUUGCACAAUGGGCGAAAGCCUGAUGCAGCGACGCCGCGUGAGGGAUGAAGGCCUUCGGGUUGUAAACCUCUUUCAGCAGGGAAGAAGCGCAAGUGACGGUACCUGCAGAAGAAGCGCCGGCUAACUACGUGCCAGCAGCCGCGGUAAUACGUAGGGCGCAAGCGUUGUCCGGAAUUAUUGGGCGUAAAGAGCUCGUAGGCGGUUUGUCGCGUCUGGUGUGAAAACUCGAGGCUCAACCUCGAGCUUGCAUCGGGUACGGGCAGACUAGAGUGCGGUAGGGGAGACUGGAAUUCCUGGUGUAGCGGUGGAAUGCGCAGAUAUCAGGAGGAACACCGAUGGCGAAGGCAGGUCUCUGGGCCGCAACUGACGCUGAGGAGCGAAAGCAUGGGGAGCGAACAGGAUUAGAUACCCUGGUAGUCCAUGCCGUAAACGUUGGGCACUAGGUGUGGGGCUCAUUCCACGAGUUCCGUGCCGCAGCAAACGCAUUAAGUGCCCCGCCUGGGGAGUACGGCCGCAAGGCUAAAACUCAAAGGAAUUGACGGGGGCCCGCACAAGCGGCGGAGCAUGCGGAUUAAUUCGAUGCAACGCGAAGAACCUUACCAAGGCUUGACAUGCACGAGAAGCCACCAGAGAUGGUGGUCUCUUUGGACACUCGUGCACAGGUGGUGCAUGGUUGUCGUCAGCUCGUGUCGUGAGAUGUUGGGUUAAGUCCCGCAACGAGCGCAACCCUCGUCCCAUGUUGCCAGCGGGGUAG